AUGCGGAGCAGUACAAAUAUGGCAAGAAUCGUGUAGAAGCAGAUGCAAAGAAGUUACAAAGCAAAGAGGAGGAGCUGCUGAAGAGGAAAGAAACGCUCCGGAACAGGCUGGCUCAGCUCCGAAAAGAAAGAAAAGAUCUACGUGCUGCCAUUGAAGUCAAUGCUGGCAGGAAGACCCAAGUGAUUCUUGAAGACAAGUUAAAGAAGUUGGAAGAGGAAUGUAAGCAGAAGGAGGCUGAGCGUGUAAACCUGGAGCUAGAACUGACUGAGGUGAAGGAGAGUCUUAAGAAAGCCUUGGCUGGUGGCAUCACACUGGGCUUGGCUAUUGAGCCCAAGUCAGGAACAUCAAGCCCCCAGUCUCCAAUUUUCAAGCAUCGAACAUUGGAAAACUCUCCGAUCUCCAGUUGUGAUACCAGUGAUACCGAAUGCUCAAUACCUGUGAACAGUGCAGCAGCUCUGAAGCGACCUCCCUCGUCAAAUAAUUCUCCAUGUCGAGGUCAUGUCCUUCGAAAAGCAAAGGAAUGGGAGAUGAAAAAUGGAACAUAAUUAUAGCAAAACCACUCACGUUCCAUCAAGGCCUUACCUAUUACGGACCAAGACAUGGGCUGCAAAAGACUCAUCUGGAAGGUGGUAUCAAGUGAUAUGACAUGAGAGGUUUUGUAAUUCUGUUAAGUUAAUGGUAGCUUGGCGUUAAUUUGCCUGUAUUCCCUCUACUGUAUUGCUGUGUAACUACGUGUGCCCCUUUUUAUUAGCUGUAACUCUUUAUUUUCAGCUUCAUUGGUAAAGAAAAUGAAAACUAAAAAAAAAACUAACCAACCAUAGUAUGUAAAAAGGAGCAUAAAGUCACAGUUGAAAGUUUACUUCACUGUAACAGCAUAGACCAGCAAUGUUAGUUCUGUUGCAUCAGGUGGCCUGAACACCACUGAAGACUGGUGUGUUAAGAAUGAUGUGAAAUCAUUACGAUAAGAAGUACUUUUACAGGUUAAAACUGACUUUGCCACAGAGGUGGCUGAGCAAAGU